rnacentral:rRNA from 1 species
GCAAGUCGAACGAUAACGGGUCUUAGCUUGCUAAGAGUGUCAGCUAAGUGGCGCACGGGGGAGUAAGAUAUAGGUAACCUGCUCUAGAGAGAGGGUUAACGUUUGUAAACGGAAGCUAUAACUCAUAUGCCUUUAAGUCAAAAGACUGCAAGGGAAACAUUUAUGGCUCUAGGAUGGGACUGUACGGUAUCAGUUAGUUGGUGAGGUAAUGGCUCACCAAGACAAUGACCCCUAACUGGUUUGAGAGGACGAUC